rnacentral:SRP_RNA from 1 species
UCGCGCUAGACGGGGAGCCAGCGGUGCCCUGUACCCGCAAUCCGCUUCAGCGGGGUCGAACUCCCCUUUGAGGGGUGCGCUUUCCGGAACCGUGUUGCGUUCGGCUGCGUUGAGGGCCUGGUCCUGCGCGACCUGGUCCCGUGAACCCCGUCAGGUCCGGAAGGAAGCAGCGGUAAACGGGGUGCCGGGGGCGCCGCAGCCCACCGGGCCUGAGUGGCCGGCGUUUCGCGCCCGGUCAGUGCACAACGAUCUGGGGUGCGCGA